rnacentral:rRNA from 1 species
AGUCACUGACAUUAGAUACCCCGGUAGUCCAGGGUGUAAACGCUGCAGACUUGGUGUUGGAAGCCCUUUGGGGGCAUUCAGUGCCGGAGAGAAGUUGUUAAGUCUGCUACUUGGGAGUACGUCCGCAAGGAUGAAACUUAAAGGAAUUGGCGGGGGAGCACCGCAACGGGAGGAGCGUGCGGUUUAAUUGGAUUCAACACCGUAAAACUCACCAGGGAAGACUGUUACAUGAAGGCCGAGAUGAAGACUCUGCCAGAUUUUCAG